AGGAGAGAGAGGGAUUCGAACCCCUCGGUA
rnacentral:tRNA from 1 species